GCUCGUGUUGUGAAAUGUUGGGUUAAGUCCCGCAACGAGCGCAACCCUUAUCCUUUGUUGCCAGCGGUUAGGCCGGGAACUCAAAGGAGACUGCCAGUGAUAAACUGGAGGAAGGUGGGGAUGACGUCAAGUCAUCAUGGCCCUUACGACCAGGGCUACACACGUGCUACAAUGGCGCAUACAAAGAGAAGCGACCUCGCGAGAGCAAGCGGACCUCAUAAAGUGCGUCGUAGUCCGGAUUGGAGUCUGCAACUCGACUCCAUGAAGUCGGAAUCGCUAGUAAUCGUGGAUCAGAAUGCCACGGUGAAUACGUUCCCGGGCCUUGUACACACCGCCCGUCACACCAUGGGAGUGGGUUGCAAAAGAAGUAGGUAGCUUAACCUUCGGGAGGGCGCUUACCACUUUGUGAUUCAUGACUGGGGUGAAGUCGUAACAAGGUAACCGUAGGGGAACCUGC
rnacentral:rRNA from 1 species